CCUCCAUGGCGGUAACCAAUGGUACCCUGACUGCUGGAAGGUACUGGGAUGAAAUCCUCAGACUGAUUGUUAGACCUUAUGCUUGGGCAGUGGGCCCUGGGUUCCUCCUGGUGCAGGACAAUGUGCGACCUCAUGUGGCCAGAGUGUGUAGGCAAU